UACGAAGGGGGCUAGCGUUGCUCGGAAUCACUGGGCGUAAAGGGUGCGUAGGCGGGUCUUUUAAGUCAGGGGUGAAAUCCUGGAGCUCAACUCCAGAACUGCCUUUGAUACUGAGGAUCUUGAGUUCGGGAGAGGUGAGUGGAACUGCGAGUGUAGAGGUGAAAUUCGUAGAUAUUCGCAAGAACACCAGUGGCGAAGGCGGCUCACUGGCCCGAUACUGACGCUGGGGCACGAAAGCGUGGGGAGCAAACAGG
rnacentral:rRNA from 1 species